rnacentral:rRNA from 1 species
AGUGAACGCUGGCGGUAGGCCUAACACAUGCAAGUCGAACGGCAGCACAGUAAGAGCUUGCUCUUACGGGUGGCGAGUGGCGGACGGGUGCGGAAUACAUCGGAAUCUACUUUUUCGUGGGGGAUAACGUAGGGAAACUUACGCUAAUACCGCAUACGACCUACGGGUGAAAGCAGGGGAUCUUCGGACCUUGCGCGAUUGAAUGAGCCGAUGUCGGAUUAGCUAGUUGGCGGGGUAAAGGCCCACCAAGGCGACGAUCCGUAGCUGGUCUGAGAGGAUGAUCAGGCACACUGGAACUGAGACACGGUCCAGACUCCUACGGGAGGCAGCAGUGGGGAAUAUUGGACAAUGGGCGAAAGCCUGAUCCAGCCAUACCGCGUGGGUGAAGAAGGCCUUCGGGUUGUAAAGCCCUUUUGUUGGGAAAGAAGAGCAGCAGGUUAAUACCCCGCUGUUCUGACGGUACCCAAAGAAUAAGCACCGGCUAACUUCGUG